rnacentral:rRNA from 1 species
AUUGAACGCUGGCGGAACGCUUUACACAUGCAAGUCGAACGGUAACGCGGAGAGAAGCUUGCUUCUCUCCGGCGACGAGUGGCGAACGGGUGAGUAAUACAUCGGAACGUGUCCGCUCGUGGGGGACAACCAGCCGAAAGGUUGGCUAAUACCGCAUGAGUUCUACGGAAGAAAGAGGGGGACCCGCAAGGGCCUCUCGCGAGCGGAGCGGCCGAUGACUGAUUAGCCGGUUGGUGAGGUAACGGCUCACCAAAGCAACGAUCAGUAGCUGGUCUGAGAGGACGACCAGCCACACUGGGACUGAGACACGGCCCAGACUCCUACGGGAGGCAGCAGUGGGGAAUUUUGGACAAUGGGCGCAAGCCUGAUCCAGCUAUUCCGCGUGUGGGAUGAAGGCCCUCGGGUUGUAAACCACUUUUGUAGAGAACGAAAAGACACCUUUUAAAAAAGGGUGUUGCUGACGGUACUCUAAGAAUAAGCACCGGCUAACUACGUGCCAGCAGCCGCGGUAAUACGUAGGGUGCGAGCGUUAAUCGGAAUUACUGGGCGUAAAGGGUGCGCAGGCGGUUGAGUAAGACAGAUGUGAAAUCCCCGAGCUUAACUCGGGAAUGGCAUAUGUGACUGCUCGACUAGAGUGUGUCAGAGGGAGGUGGAAUUCCACGUGUAGCAGUGAAAUGCGUAGAUAUGUGGAAGAACACCGAUGGCGAAGGCAGCCUCCUGGGACAUAACUGACGCUCAGGCACGAAAGCGUGGGGAGCAAACAGG